rnacentral:rRNA from 1 species
GGACCAUCAUGUCGGUCGUGCCUUGGUACGUACUGGCAUUAUUGGUUUCUCCCUUCUGACGAACCAUGAUGUCAUUAAUUUGGUGUUAUGGGGAAUCAGGACUGUUACUUUGAAAAAAUUAGAGUGUUUAAAGCAGGCUCACGCUUGAAUACAUUAGCAUGGAAUAACGGAAUAGGACGUUUGAUUCUAUUUUGUUGGUUUCUAGGAUCGCCGUA